rnacentral:rRNA from 1 species
UACGAAGGGGGCUAGCGUUGCUCGGAUUUACUGGGCGUAAAGGGCGCGUAGGCGGACAGUUAAGUUGGGGGUGAAAGCCCGGGGCUCAACCUCGGAAUUGCCUUCAAUACUGGCUGUCUUGAGUGUGAGAGAGGUGUGUGGAACUCCGAGUGUAGAGGUGAAAUUCGUAGAUAUUCGGAAGAAACACCAGUGGCGAAGGCGACACACUGGCUCACUACUGACGCUGAGGCGCGAAAGCGUGGGGAGCAAACAGG